CCCAGAGACCCUGUUCUGUCUGGCCUGGGCUCCAGCCUGGGCAACAGAAGUUCUAAGAUAUUCUCCUGCAGAGUCUAAUUUGCAAUCAAGGCAUUAUUUGGAAGCAGCCCAAGUGUCCAUCCAUAGAUGAAUGGAUAAAGAAGAUGUGACAUGAAACAGGAAUCUAGAAGCACUGAGUGACUUUCCCAUUAGUCACAUCACUACCCUGACUCCCAGAACAAUGUUUUCGCAUUUUCAUCAAU